CAGCAGCCGCGGUAAUACGAAGGGGGCUAGCGUUGCUCGGAAUGACUGGGCGUAAAGGGCGCGUAGGCGGAUUGUUUAGUUAGGCGUGAAAUUCCUGGGCUUAACCUGGGGACUGCGCUUAAUACAGGCAGUCUAGAGUGAGGAAGAGGGUUGUGGAAUUCCCAGUGUAGAGGUGAAAUUCGUAGAUAUUGGGAAGAACACCGGUGGCGAAGGCGGCAACCUGGUCCUUGACUGACGCUGAGGCGCGAAAGCGUGGGGAGCAAACAGGAUUAGAUACCCCCGUAGUCCCUGUCUCUUAUAC
rnacentral:rRNA from 1 species